rnacentral:rRNA from 1 species
UAUUGCACAAUGGGCGAAAGCCUGAUGCAGCAACGCCGCGCGAGCGAUGAAGGCCUUCGGGUCGUAAAGCUCUGUCCUCAAGGAAGAUANUGACGGUACUUGAGGAGGUAGCCACGGCUCACUACGUGCCAGCAGCCGCCGGAAUACGUAGGGGGCUAGCGUUAUCCGGAAUUACUGGGCGUAAAGGGUGCGUAGGUGGUUUCUUAAGUCAGAGGUGAAAGGCUACGGCUCAACCGUAGUAAGCCUUUGAAACUGGGGAACUUGAGUGCAGGAGAGGAGAGUGGAAUUCCUAGUGUAGCGGUGAAAUGCGUAGAUAUUAGGAGGAACACCAGUUGCGAAGGCGGCUCUCUGGACUGUAACUGACACUGAGGCACGAAAGCGUGGGGAGCAAACA